GUGGCUUGUGCCAGAAAAACUUUAUGAAGUCUCAGCGUUUCCUUGUGGGCCAGGUCUGGGCUGAAACGUAACAUGCUGAUGGGGCUGUCUCCUCACCAUCCCUAGCACGUACAACAGCUUCUUCCACAAGUCUGAGAGUAAGAGGAACACUGUACCAGAAGAAGAGGAAGCAAAAUAAUAUUACCCAGCCUGGUAAGGGUUUCUGCUGGGACUUUCACUUUUGCAACCCCUGCCUUUUUGUUAUUUAAACUGUGCAGUCUUAAUGCAUUCAUGUCAUUUUCUCAAUUUAAUUUCCCUGGAUUUUCAAAGA